GACGAACGCUGGCGGCGUGCCUAAUACAUGCAAGUCGAACGCAGUGGGGACGGGUGAGUUACACGUGGGUAACCUUCCCAUCCGAGGGGAUAACACUUGGAAACAGGUGCUCAACCGUUAUUGAUGGAUGGACCCGCGGUGCAUUAGCUAGUUGGUGAGGUAACGGCUCACCAAGGCCACGAUGCAUAGCCGACGUGAGAGGGUGAUCGGCCACACGGGGACGGAGACACGGCCCAGACUCCUACGGGAGGCAGCAGUAGGGAAUCUUCGACAAUGGACGAAGGGCUGACCGGGCAACGCCGCGUGAGUGAAGAAGGUUUUCGGAUCGUAGAACUCUAUUGUUAGAGAAGCGGUAUCUAACCAGUAAGCCACGGCUAACUACGUGCCAGCAGCCGCGGUAAUAC
rnacentral:rRNA from 1 species